rnacentral:rRNA from 1 species
CACACGGUCUGCGUGUGGGCGUGUGGUGAGCGCGGUUCGGUUGGUAGGUUGGCAGGCGAGCUGGCUGGUCGUUGUCGCCGCAACUGCUGGCUGGCUGGCUGGCUGGCUGGCUGACUGGCUAGGCGGUGGGUUGGCGGGACGGCUGGGUGGUUUGCUUGCUGGCUGGGCUGGCUGGUGCGAUGCUGCACUACUACUGCUUGCGUGCAGUGAGCGUGUGUUGGCAGGGAUUGUGUUGCCGUGGCCAUGAAGAAGCACUGUCGUGUCAAGCUGGCAAGGCGAUGGUGUCACCUUUGAGCCAUGUCUGUGGUGUAACAGCUACAGGUGUGGACGGGUGUUGGGCAGCGCUCUGCACACGUUGUGGAGUCUGUCGGCUCGUCUGCAUGCCUUUGGAUGCCCUUAAAAAGGUGUCUGCGGGCGGAUGGCACGUUUACUUUGAACAAAUUUGAGUGCUCAAAUCAGGCCGAUGUUGCCUGAAAAGUUUUGCAUGGAAUAAUGGAAUAGGACUUCGGUUCUAUUUCGUUGGUUUUCGGAUCCGAAGUAAUGAUCAAAAGAGACAGGCGGGGACGUUUGUAUGGCUGCGCUAGAGGUGAAAUUCAUGGACCGUAGCCAGACAGACUAAAGCGAAAGCAUUCGUCAAGCAUGUUUUCAUUGGCCAUGAGCGAAAGUCAGAGGCUCGAAGACGAUCAGAUACCGUCCUAGUUCUGACCAUAAACGAUGCCAACUGACGAUCCGUGGUGGUAGUAGUGUUACCUUCCCCACGGGCAGUCCCCGGGAAACCUUUAAGUGUUUGGGUUCCGGGGGAAGUAUGGUUGCAAAGCUGAAACUUAAAGGAAUUGACGGAAGGGCACCACCAGGAGUGGAGCCUGCGGCUUAAUUUGACUCAACACGGGAAAACUCACCCGGGCCGGACACUGUGAGGAUUGACAGAUUGAGAGCUCUUUCUUGAUUUGGUGGUUGGUGGUGCAUGGCCGUUCUUAGUUGGUGGAGCGAUUUGUCUGGUUAAUUCCGAUAACGAACGAGACUCCAACCUGCUAAUUAGUGCGUUUGUCCACUGCGCCUGCGUAGGUGACGCUGGAUGACACCACCUGUCACGAGGACGUGGCAGCGGCUCUUCUCUCCCUUCUCCGCUCGAAUGCCUCCAGCGCCUCCUCCUCCUCCUCCUCCUCUCCUCCCCCUUCUUCAGCGCCUCAUCUGGCCGGCUGGCUGGCUGGCCGGGUGAGGCGGUGGUGGCGGUGGCGGUGGUGAGGGCGAUGGGGUGGGGAUGGUGCGGGUGGGCGAGUGGAUUGUGGUGGAGGCGUGGGGUUGGGUGCGGCGCUCGUGGCCGGUUAGUCUGGCGUUGGCCUCCGGGUGUGGCGCGAAUGCCUACUUCUUAGAGGGACAAGCGGGAGAAGCCGCACGAAAUAGAGCAAUAACAGGUCUGUGAUGCCCUUAGAUGUCCGGGGCCGCACGCGCGCUACAAUGACGGUGUCAGCGAGUCAGGCCUUCUGGCCCGAAAGGGUUGGGCAAACUGGUCAAUCACCGUCGUGACAGGGAUCGGGGCUUGGAAUUGUUCCCCGUGAACGAGGAAUUCCUAGUAAGUGCAAGUCAUAAGCUUGCGCUGAUUACGUCCCUGCCCUUUGUACACACCGCCCGUCGCUACUACCGAUUGAAUGGUUUAGUAAGGUCCUCGGAUUGGCGUCAUUGCGACGGUGGCCGAGAGGUCACAGCCCGAGGGGCGCUGAGAAGACGACCGAACUUGAUCAUUUAGAGGAAGUAAAAGUCGUAACAAGGUUUCCGUAGGUGAACCUGCGGAAG